rnacentral:rRNA from 1 species
UACGUAGGGGGCGAGCGUUGUCCGGAUUUAUUGGGCGUAAAGAGCGUGUAGGCGGUUCGGUAAGUCUGUCGUGAAAUCCUGAGGCUCAACCCUGGGAUGCGGGUGGAUACUGCCGAGCUCGAGUCCGGAAGAGGCGAGUGGAAUUCCUGGUGUAGCGGUGAAAUGCGCAGAUAUCAGGAGGAACACCAAUGGCGAAGGCAGCUCGCUGGGACGUGACUGACGCUGAGACGCGAAAGCGUGGGAGCAAACAGG